AUAUGAAUCACUAAUAGAUCUGUUAAAAAGCAGAUUCUGAUUCAGCAAGUUUAAGAAAAGGAAUGAGAUUUCAUACUUCCAGCAAGCUCUAUAGUAGUUCUAGA
rnacentral:pre_miRNA from 1 species